rnacentral:rRNA from 1 species
UCAGGACGAACGCUGGCGGCGUGCUUAACACAUGCAAGUCGAACGGAAAGGCCCCUUCGGGGGUACUCGAGUGGCGAACGGGUGAGUAACACGUGGGCAACCUGCCCCUAGCUCUGGGAUAACUCCGGGAAACCGGUGCUAAUACCGGAUAUCAACCUCCUCAGGCAUCUGUAGAGGUUAAAAGUUUUUCGGCUAGGGAUGGGCCCGCGGCCUAUCAGCUUGUUGGUGGGGUAAUGGCCUACCAAGGCGACGACGGGUAGCCGGCCUGAGAGGGCGACCGGCCACACUGGGACUGAGACACGGCCCAGACUCCUACGGGAGGCAGCAGUGGGGAAUAUUGCGCAAUGGGCGAAAGCCUGACGCAGCGACGCCGCGUGAGGGAUGACGGCCUUCGGGUUGUAAACCUCUUUCAGCUCUGACGAAGCGAAAGUGACGGUAGGAGCAGAAGAAGCACCGGCCAACUACGUGCCAGCAGCCGCGGUAAUACGUAGGGUGCAAGCGUUGUCCGGAAUUAUUGGGCGUAAAGAGCUCGUAGGCGGUCUGUCGCGUCGAAUGUGAAAACCCGAGGCUCAACUUCGGGCCUGCAUUCGAUACGGGCAGACUAGAGUUCGGUAGGGGAGUCUGGAAUUCCUGGUGUAGCGGUGAAAUGCGCAGAUAUCAGGAGGAACACCGGUGGCGAAGGCGGGACUCUGGGCCG